UACGGAGGGGGCUAGCGUUGUUCGGAAUUACUGGGCGUAAAGCGUACGUAGGCGGCUUUGCAAGUUAGAGGUGAAAGCCCGGGGCUCAACUCCGGAAUUGCCUUUAAAACUGCAUCGCUAGAAUUGUGGAGAGGUAAGUGGAAUUCCGAGUGUAGAGGUGAAAUUCGUAGAUAUUCGGAAGAACACCAGUGGCGAAGGCGACUUACUGGACACAUAUUGACGCUGAGGUGCGAAAGCGUGGGGAGCAAACAGG
rnacentral:rRNA from 1 species